UACGUAGGGGCCGAGCGUUGUCCGGAGUUAUUGGGCGUAAAGCGCGCGCAGGCGGCCUCGCGCGCCCGACGUGAAAGCCCCCCGGCUUAACCGGGGAGGGUCGUUGGGGACGGCGGGGCUUGAGGGCGGGAGAGGUCGGUGGAAUUCCCGGUGUAGUGGUGAAAUGCGCAGAUAUCAGGAGGAACACCAAUUGCGAAGGCAGCUCGCUGGGACGUUACUGACGCUGAGACGCGAAAGCGUGGGGGAGCAAACAGG
rnacentral:rRNA from 1 species